UACGUAGGUGACAAGCGUUGUCCGGAUUUAUUGGGCGUAAAGCGAACGCAGGCGGUCUUUUAAGUCUGAUGUGAAAGCCCACGGCUCAACCGUGGAGGGUCAUUGGAAACUGGAGGACUUGAGUACAGAAGAGGAAAGUGGAAUUCCACGUGUAGCGGUGAAAUGCGUAGAUAUAUGGAGGAACACCAGUGGCGAAGGCGACUCUCUGGUCUGUAACUGACGCUGAGGCUCGAAAGUGUGGGGAGCAAACAGG
rnacentral:misc_RNA from 1 species